rnacentral:rRNA from 1 species
AAUGGGCGCAAGCCUGAUCCAGCCAUGCCGCGUGAGUGAUGAAGGCCCUAGGGUCGUAAAGCUCUUUCGCCAGGGAUGAUAAUGACAGUACCUGGUAAAGAAACCCCGGCUAACUCCGUGCCAGCAGCCGCGGUAAUACGGAGGGGGUUAGCGUUGUUCGGAAUUACUGGGCGUAAAGCGCGCGUAGGCGGAUUAGUCAGUUAGAGGUGAAAUCCCGGGGCUCAACCCCGGAACUGCCUUUAAUACUGCUAGUCUCGAGUUCGAGAGAGGUGAGUGGAAUUCCGAGUGUAGAGGUGAAAUUCGUAGAUAUUCGGAGGAACACCAGUGGCGAAGGCGGCUCACUGGCUCGAUACUGACGCUGAGGUGCGAAAGUGUGGGGAGCAAACAGGAUU